GCAGCAAGUGAACAUGUCCACAAAGCUGAUCCGUGUGUGGGGAGUGAAAGUUAGCCUGUGUGGUCCAAUCCAACAGACGGGUUACUGUUUGUCAAAUUGCUGAAGAAGUUAAUGCUGGUUCUGAUGGAAAGGUUUCAGAAUACACAGUGCAUCGCAGUGUGUUACGAGUGGGGCUGCAUAGCUGUAGACCACUCAGGGUGACCAUGCUGUGACCCCCUGUCAACUGCCGAGAGUGCCAACAAUGGGCAAGCAUCAGAACUGGACCAUGGAGCCAUGGAAGAAGGAUGCGCUGGACUAAGAAGUCUGAUCCAUGGAGGCCAAACCUUGCAACUUACAGGACUUAAAGGAUCUGCUGCUAACCUGUUGAUGCCAGAUACUACAGCACACCUUCAGGGGUCUAGUGGAGUCCAUGCCAGGUGGUCAGAAUGUUAUACCUGGUCGGUGUUUUGGCCUCACUCCUUAAGUCACAUCAACACUUAUGGAAAAUAAAUGGAUAUUUACCUGUACUGUACUGCUAUGUAUGUAUGUUGCUUUGUUUCAAAUGUCAGCCCAAAUUCAGAAGUAGAAUAGUUUUAUAUACAUUUUCUAUUAUUUAAAAUAAACUUUUAUUUUGGA